rnacentral:tRNA from 1 species
GCCGUCGUAGCUCAGUCGGUAGAGCAACUGUCUCGUAAUCAGUAGGUCGGGAGUUCGAUUCUCUCCGACGGCACCA